rnacentral:rRNA from 1 species
UACACUCCUGCGGGAGGCAGCAGUGGGGAAUAUUGCACAAUGGGCGCAAGCCUGAUGCAGCCAUGCCGCGUGUAUGAAGAAGGCCUUCGGGUUGUAAAGUACUUUCAGCGGGGAGGAAGGCGAUAAGGUUAAUAACCUUGUCGAUUGACGUUACCCGCAGAAGAAGCACCGGCUAACUCCGUGCCAGCAGCCGCGGUAAUACGGAGGGUGCAAGCGUUAAUCGGAAUUACUGGGCGUAAAGCGCACGCAGGCGGUCUGUCAAGUCGGAUGUGAAAUCCCCGGGCUCAACCUGGGAACUGCAUUCGAAACUGGCAGGCUAGAGUCUUGUAGAGGGGGGUAGAAUUCCAGGUGUAGCGGUGAAAUGCGUAGAGAUCUGGAGGAAUACCGGUGGCGAAGGCGGCCCCCUGGACAAAGACUGACGCUCAGGUGCGAAAGCGUGGGGAGCAAACAGGAUUAGAUACCCGAGUAGUCCCA